UUGGUUUUUCAAGACAGGGUUUCUCUGCAUAGCCCUGGCUGUCCUGGAACUCAUUCUGUAGACCAGGCUGGCCUCGAACUCAAUAGAGAUCUGCCUGCCUCUGCAUGCAUCACCAUCACCUGGUGAGAAAGGGUUUAAGUCGAAGGUAAAACGCAUUUCCUGCCCAUAACAUCUUCCCUUCUGGCCCCAGUGCAGGUCUGGACAGCGUGGUGCCAGCCAGUCUCGUCGCGAUAUGAAAGAUGCUGCACCAGCCGGUGAUGACAGCAGCUGUGUCCUCUGGGUCCAUUGAUCAGAUAACAAUGAAGAAACCAAUCCACACAGCAAGCAGGAGUGUGAGAGAUGAGCCACCCGUCCCUCCGAAAAGGGGUCGUUUAGAUCCUUCCUGUGCACAUGAGUCUCACGUCACCCUCCGGAGUGUCGAGAAGAAAGACGAGCCGUGGAACGUGCGUACAUAUGGGUGGCUCGCAGAUGCUAAAAAUAUUUAUAUCCAAACAUUUUAAACUUUAAGCAGAUCUUUUCAGCUGCUUCUGUUCCUGCAAAGACCCUUGAGAGUUUCAGCCCAAAAUGACUCUUUUAAUUGAAUUUAAAAACAUUUUUUUUCCCAGAGACAGACUCUCUCACUGUCUGAGGUGGCCCAGGGUGGCCUCAAACUCAUAAUCUUCCUGCCUCCACCUCCCAACUAUUGGCAUUACAGGUGUGUAAUACCAUGGUCAGCUUUUAAUUAAUUGAUUAAUUAAAUUAAUUAAUUAGCACUCGUCUAUUUAUUGAUUUUGUGCAUGUGCCACAGAACACGCAUGUUGAUCGGAAGGCAACUUGGGAGUCUGUUCUCUCCUUCUACCACGGACAGCUCAGUGGCAUUGUUUUCACAUGGCUGUGCCACCACCACCCUCCCCCUCCAGAGUCUAAAGCCCUCUGCACUUGUUAGUGACAGCCAGUUCCCAUCGUGCCCUGUGGGCAGUGCUCUCCUCCCUGACUGUGACGCUGACUGUUCUAGUAAGUUCCUUACAGAAGGAGGCGUGUACAGUAUCUGUCUUCUCUUUCUUUCCUUCUUUCUUUGGUUUCUCUCCUUUUCUUUCUGUGCUGGCUGGUCUUCUGUCAACUUGACACACAAACUAGAGGUAUCUGAAGGGAGGGAAACUUAAUUGAGGAAAUGCCUCUGUAAGAUCCAGGUGUAAGGCAUUU